CCUACGGGAGGCAGCAGUGGGGAAUAUUGGGCAAUGGGCGCAAGUCUGACCCAGCAACGCCGCGUGAAGGAAGAAGGCACUCGGUUUGUAAACCUCUUUUAUUCGGGACGAAAAAAAUGGCGCUACCGAACGAAUAAGCCACGGCUAACUACGUGCCAGCAGCCGCGGUGAUACGUAGGUGGCGAGAGUUAGCCGGAUUUACUGGGUGUAAAGGGCGGGGAGGCGGGAUAGCAAGUCAGACGUGAAAUUCCAGGGCUCAACCCUGGAACUGCGUUUGAAACUGUUCGUCUAGAGUGAUGGAGAGGCAGGCGGAAUUCGGGGUGUAGCGGUGAAAUGCGUAGAUAUACGGAGGAACACCAGUGGCGAAGGCGGCCUGCUGGACAAUAACUGACGCUGAGGUGCGAAAGCGUGGGGAGCAAACAGGAUUAGAUACCCGUGUAGUC
rnacentral:rRNA from 1 species